rnacentral:rRNA from 1 species
AGACUCGUACAAUAUUGGACAAUGGGCGCUUGCCUGUUCCGGCAAUGCCGCGUGUGUGAAGAAGGUCUUCGGAUUGAGAAGGCUUUCCACGGGAAAGAUCUUUUGGUACCCGUAGACGAUGCCCCGGCUAAUUUCUUGCCAAUGACGCGGUAAUACGAAUAGGGGCUAGCUAUGUUCGCAAUGACUGCCCGUAUAAUGCGCAUAGGCGGCUCGUACAUCAGAUGAGAAAUUCCCGGGCUUGCGCUGGGGGCUGUGUUGAUUGUCGUGGGCGCUACUGUCCAAAAUGGGGUGUAAUUCCCAGUGUAGAAGUGAUAUUCUUAUAUAUUGGGGAGUACAAUUCGUCGUGAAGCAGACGACCUGCGCUCAUGACUGACGAUUAUC